rnacentral:rRNA from 1 species
GUAGGUGGCAAGCGUUGUCCGGAAUUAUUGGGCGUAAAGCGCGCGCAGGCGGGGUCCUUUAAGUCUGAUGUGAAAGCCCACGGGCUCAACCGUGGAGGGUCAUUGGAAACUGGGGGACUUGAGUACAGAAGAGGAAAGCGGAAUUCCAAGUGUAGCGGUGAAAUGCGUAGAGAUUUGGAGGAACACCAGUGGCGAAGGCGGCUUUCUGGUCUGUAACUGACGCUGAGGCGCGAAAGCGUGGGGAGCAAACAGGAUUAGAUACCCUGGUAGUCCACGCCGUAAACGAUGAGUGCUAAGUGUUAGGGGGGUUUCCGCCCCUUAGUGCUGCAGCUAACGCAUUAAGCACUCCGCCUGGGGGAGUACGGCCGCAAAGGCUG